AACACUGUUAACCUGCGGUACCUGCGGAAGGAUCAUUACCGAGUUUACAACUCCCAAACCCCUGUGAACAUACCUAUAUGUUGCCUCGGCGGAUCAGCCCGCGCCCCGUAAAACGGGACGGCCCGCCGCAGGAUCCACAAACUCUGUUUUUAUUGUAACUUCUGAGUAACAAAACAAAUAAAUCAAAACUUUUAGCAAUGGAUCU
rnacentral:misc_RNA from 1 species